rnacentral:rRNA from 1 species
GUCCACGCCGUAAACGAUGAUAACUAGCUGUCGGGGCUCUUAGAGCUUCGGUGGCGCAGCUAACGCAUUAAGUUAUCCGCCUGGGGAGUACGGCCGCAAGGUUAAAACUCAAAUGAAUUGACGGGGGCCUGCACAAGCGGUGGAGCAUGUGGUUUAAUUCGAAGCAACGCGCAGAACCUUACCAGCGUUUGACAUGGUAGGACGGCUUCCAGAGAUGGAUUCCUUCCCUUCGGGGACCUACACACAGGUGCUGCAUGGCUGUCGU